rnacentral:lncRNA from 1 species
CGGGAAGCCUGGCCAGCAGGCAAGCCAGGACAGCCCACUCAUUGCUUCCUACCCUCAUGAGACUCUUGGUGGAAAGGCUCCGGGCUGCAAUGGUGCCUCAGGAUACAGAGAUGCCCCCCAGCCAGUGUGACCUUGCAGUGUGUUCCAGCCCAGGCUUCAGGGUCCACAGGUCCUUCGGCAAAACAGAACCAUCUCCUGCUCUCUGCCUGCACCACACCUGGGACACGCUGACAUUCUGAGCACUGUGAGAUUCUAAUCGCCCUCCAGAAGCAGCUGCUAUUAGCUCCUCUCCUGAGCCUCCGAAUCCCCGAUGCUCAGCAAAAUUCCCCUCUGAUGGAAGCAGCUGUGCUCAGACGCCGCCCGUCUGCCUCCAGAGCUCAUCAAAGCCCCUCAAAGGGAAGAUUAGCAGCAGCUCCCAUCAGCGGGGGCAUUGUCGCCAUUCAGCGCCUAAGCCAUGCUUGGCCACUCGGGCCUCAUGGAAGACACAGAAUUAGAGAAUAUUGGACUCUUAAAAGCACAGACUCUCAGAAGCAUAGGCUUUCAGAAGCAUGGAAUCAUCCAAUCUUCUCCACAAAUCAGCUUAGGGUGUUAGAAUUUUAAGGAUGCGUCCUUUUAGAAGCUUAGACUCUUAGAAAUCACCUCAAAUUUUAUUCUGAUUAAGUUUAGGGUGAAAUAGGUAAAUCUUAUCUUUGACACUGUCUUAGAAGCCUGGCAUCUUAGCUUAUUAAACCUCAGAAUUUGAAACACCAGUGAGCUGCAGAAACCGUAUCAUCUGGGGGGC